rnacentral:rRNA from 1 species
UUAAAUUGAAGAGUUUGAUCAUGGCUCAGAUUGAACGCUGGCGGCAGGCCUAACACAUGCAAGUCGAACGGUAGCACAGAGAGCUUGCUCUCGGGUGACGAGUGGCGGACGGGUGAGUAAUGUCUGGGAAACUGCCUGAUGGAGGGGGAUAACUACUGGAAACGGUAGCUAAUACCGCAUAACGUCGCAAGACCAAAGAGGGGGACCUUCGGG